UAAUAGCAUUCGCGUCACGAACUAACGAUUUUCGACAAACUUCAAUAUCUUGUCGUUUUCUUUCAAUCUAAUUCCGUUUGUCCACCGGUAUGACGUGACAUUUGGACCAUUUGACCGUCUAUAUAGAACGUAACUCAACUUUCCCCUAAUAUAAAAUUAAUUAGAAAAUACAAAACAAAUUUAAAAAAAAAACAAACAAACAAACUCUGCCCUCCCAUCUUUACCAAAAAUCCGCUGCUCCUCCAGCCCUCCUGCUCCAUUCAAACCGCCAUGGAUCGUCAAUCAAUCCUAAAGCAAUUUCAUGAAAAAAAAACUAAAUUCCAAAGUCCAAGACUCCGAGGGAUGAAAAUGGUGGCGGAACAUGCAUACAACCGGCUCACCGAAUCAAUGUCGACGUGUUCGCAGAGUUUAACUCCACCGUGGAAGCGCUGACGAUCUCCAGCGAGGAUCUCAAGGUCAAGGAGAAGGCGAUCAGCGAGCUGACGACGGAGGUGGAGAGGAUGAAGGAGUCGGCGAAGAAACUUAUGGAAUCGAUGGAGGAACAGACUAAGCUGUUCGAGCAGGCCAAGAUUCAGCUUGAAGAGUCGAAGUUGGAGGCGGUGAAUCUAAGAAAAAGGCUGGAGAGAUUGGAAGAUGAAGAAGUAGAAGAACAAGAAACAGAAUAUGAGGAUGAGGAGAAGGAAAUCGAUCAGGUUUUUGAGUACGGGAUACCCAGGUCAUCGUUGGAGAAGCAAUUGAGUGAGUUGAAGGUUGAACUUUAGACUGUGAAAGAGAACUUAGCUAGGGCUCAUAAGGUAGAGACGGCAGCAGCGGUGAACAGCUACAGCCUUAUGGAGAAGUGGAAUCGUUGAGGAUCCAACUGAAGAAGGCGAUUGAAGCGGAGGAGAAUAGCAUGACAGCUAAGUCAUCAAUCCGUUAGGAAGAAACUGAUCGCGACAGAAGGUGAGCUGGAGCAUUACCGGAGGUGUGGCAGAGGAGUUGAGGAAAAGGCUGAGGAACGAGGAGGAGAGGCAGAGUUUGUUUGUUUUUUUAAUUUUUUUGUAUUUUUUAAUUAAUUUCAUAUUAGCAUAAAGUUGAGUCAUCUAUCAUAUAGGUACGCGGUCAAAUUGUCAAAAUGUCAUGUUAUAGGAAUGGACAAAUAAAAUUAUAUUGAAGAAAGACGGCAUGAUAUUGGAGUUUGCUGAAAAUCGUUAGUUCAUAACGCGAAUGCAAUUACCAAUAAGUCAUGUUUAUUUUGAUAAUCGCGAAAUAAUUCGUAAUAUUCUAAGGGUUUUUGCCAAAAAAUAAGUGACCUACAACUAUGUUGACA
rnacentral:lncRNA from 1 species